rnacentral:lncRNA from 10 species
CCGAGGUUUCCUUCCUCUAAGACCUUGCUAGCGGCUCCUAGAUGCCUUCCAAACCAAAUUCUCUUCUAUGAGAUCAGCUCUUAGCUUUGUAUUCCCUGGCACUUAUGGAGUAUGUUAUGGAGGUUAAAAGCUAAAGCCAAGCCAGGAAGAGGAAGACAAGAUGAGAAACCCCAAAUCAAGGUAAGAGAAGAAAAUAAGUGCAACAUGCCAGAAAUCCAGUAAAGCAGUUCAAGUAUCAGAAGAGCGUGAAUCAAAACCAAGUGCAAGAAGAGGCACCUUGACAUUGAACUGAAGGCCACCAGGUACUCACUGGGUCAAUGACUCUUCUCAUUUUUAUGCUCCUGCCAGUGCUUCCAAUCGCUGAACUGAACUGGGAACAAAUCAACAAGGGAAACCAAGAGAUGCAUUCCUUGAAGUUCAGCCUCCAGGCCUCAAGUAAGGCAGAGGAAGAGAAUACAUAGAUCUGUGGAGAAGAGUGGUGAUGGUGGGAGCUGCCAAUAAAGAACUAUCAAAAAAGGAUGAUGCAACAGAAAAGCCGUCACCAGAUACCAGCACCUUAAUGUUGGACUUCUCAGCCUCCAGAACUGACCCUUGAAAUUGGUUGCAGAACAUACAUUUUAUCUGAUUCUAAUUAUGUGGAAUUUCGAAGUCAUUUUGGUAACAGAACUACUCUAACCUGUUAUUAAACUCAGGAUUUUUUUAAGAAAUAAAAAUUGCU